rnacentral:pre_miRNA from 1 species
GUGUUUACCGUGGGGUCUUGAUUUGGUUGUAUUUAUUAAGGCACGCGGUGAAUAUC